rnacentral:rRNA from 1 species
GAUGGCUCCCACGUCCAAGGAUGGCAGCAGGCGCGAAAAUUGUCCACUCUUUUGAGAGGAGACAGUUAUGAAACGUGAGUAGAAGGGUCGAGUGUAAAAACCUUGACGUGAAGCAAUUGGAGGGCAAGUUUUGGUGCCAGCAGCCGCGGUAAUUCCAACUCCAAGAGUGUCUAUGGUGGAUGCUGCAGUUAAAGGGUCCGUAGUCGUAGAUGCAAUUAAAAGGUGGUGUUAAAAGCCAUUGAGUUUGUUGAGAGUAGCGGAACGGAUAGGGAGCAUGGUAUAGGUGGGCAAAGAAUGAAAUCUCAAGACCCCACCUGGACCAACGGAGGCGAAAGCGAUGCUCUUAGACGUAUCUGGGGAUCAAGGACGAAGGCUAGAGUAUCGAAAGUGAUUAGACACCGCUGUAGUUCUAGCAGUAAACUAUGCCGACAAUGCUGGGUGUUGCGAGAGCGAUGCUUGGUGUGGGAGAAAUCUUAGUUUUCGGGCUCUGGGGAUAGUACGCUCGCAAGGGUGAAACUUAAAGCGAAAUUGACGGAAGGACACUACCAGGAGUGGAUUGUGCUGCUUAAUUUAACUCAACGCGGGAAAACUUACCAGGGUCAAGUCUAUCGUAGAUUGGAGACAUGAGGUAGACAAGAGUGGUGCAUGGCCGUUGGAAAUUGAUGGGGCGACUUUUAGCUUAAGUGCUGGAACCAGUGAGAUCUUCUAGACAGGUGUUAUUUAGGCACAGGAGGGAGAAGGCAAUAACAGGUCCGUGAUGCCCUUAGAUAUCCUGGGCAGCAAGCGCAAUACAAUAUCUCUUGAGAAGACAAAGCAAUUUGAGAUGAGUAGGAUUAGCUUUUGUAAAUAAGCUAUGAAUGAGGAAUUCCUAGUAACAGUGUCUCAUCAAGGCAUUGUGAAUGUGUCCCUGUUC